rnacentral:rRNA from 1 species
GACGAACGCUGGCGGCGUGCUUAACACAUGCAAGUCGAACGGAAAGGCCCUGCUUUUGUGGGGUGCUCGAGUGGCGAACGGGUGAGUAACACGUGAGUAACCUGCCCUUGACUUUGGGAUAACUUCAGGAAACUGGGGCUAAUACCGGCUAGGAGCUCCUGCUGCAUGGUGGGGGUUGGAAAGUUUCGGCGGUUGGGGAUGGACUCGCGGCUUAUCAGCUUGUUGGUGGGGUAGUGGCUUACCAAGGCUGUGACGGGUAGCCGGCCUGAGAGGGUGACCGGCCACAUUGGGACUGAGAUACGGCCCAGACUCCUACGGGAGGCAGCAGUGGGGAAUAUUGCACAAUGGGCGGAAGCCUGAUGCAGCAACGCCGCGUGCGGGAUGACGGCCUUCGGGUUGUAAACCGCUUUCGCCUGUGACGAAGCGUGAGUGACGGUAAUGGGUAAAGAAGCACCGGCUAACUACGUG